UGAUGCUAGGUUUGUCACAUGACCCGAAUCAGAGCCUAUCCUGGUUGGGUAACUCAAGUCCAACUAAGACCAGAGACCACAUCUAAUAUCCAAACCAUUGACCACCCUUCACCCCAUUUUGGAUAAAUUUCGAACAAAUAGCAAGAUGAAAUAGUAUUAAUUUGAAGACAUGAUCACAAGUCUAUAAUAAAACCGAAAUCCACAACCAAUUAACCAUCCAAUACCAACC
rnacentral:lncRNA from 1 species